rnacentral:piRNA from 1 species
UACGAGAAAACAAGUGAAUCG